CGCGUAGGCGGUUUUGUAAGUCAGAUGUGAAAUCCCGGGGCUCAACCCCGGAAGUGCAUUUGAAACUGCAGGACUUGAGUAUGGGAGAGGGAAGUGGAAUUCCUGGUGUAGAGGUGAAAUUCGUAGAUAUCAGGAGGAACACCGGUGGCGAAGGCGACUUCCUGGACCAAUACUGACGCUGAGGCGCGAAGGCGUGGGGAGCAAACA
rnacentral:rRNA from 1 species